UACGUAGGGUGCAAGCGUUAAUCGGAAUUACUGGGCGUAAAGCGUGCGCAGGCGGUUGUGCAAGACAGAUGGUGAAAUCCCCCGGGCUCAACCUGGGAACUGCAUUUGUGACUGCAUCGCUAGAGUACGGCAGAGGGGGAUGGAAUUCCGCGUGUAGCAGUGAAAUGCGUAGAUAUGUGGAGGAAUACCGAUGGCGAAGGCAGCCCCCUGGGAUAACACUGACGCUCAUGCACGAAAGCGUGGGGAGCAAACAGG
rnacentral:rRNA from 1 species